rnacentral:rRNA from 1 species
AUGCUUUACACAUGCAAGUCGAACGGCAGCACGGGAGCUUGCUCCUGGUGGCGAGUGGCGAACGGGUGAGUAAUGCGUCGGAACGUACCGAGUAAUGGGGGAUAACGCAGCGAAAGUUGUGCUAAUACCGCAUACGCCCUGAGGGGGAAAGCGGGGGAUCGUAAGACCUCGCGUUAUUCGAGCGGCCGACGUCUGAUUAGCUAGUUGGUGGGGUAAAGGCCUACCAAGGCGACGAUCAGUAGCGGGUCUGAGAGGAUGAUCGGCCACACUGGAACUGAGACACGGUCCAGACUCCUACGGGAGGCAGCAGUGGGGAAUUUUGCGCAAUGGGCGAGAGCCUGACGCAGCAACGCCGCGUGGAGGAUGAAGGUCUUUGGAUUGUAAACUCCUGUCAGCGGGGAAAAAGGGAUUCGGCCUAAUACGCCGGAAACUUGAUUGUACCCGCAGAGGAAGCCCCGGCUAACUCUGUGCCAGCAGCCGCGGUAAUACAGAGGGGGCGAGCGUUAUUCGGAAUUAUUGGGCGUAAAGGGCGCGUAGGCGGCUUUUCAAGUGACGGGUGAAAUCCCUCGGCUUAACCGAGGAACUGCCUGUCAGACUGGAGGGCUUGAGACCGGGAGAGGUGAGUGGAAUUCCCAGUGUAGCGGUGAAAUGCGUAGAUAUUGGGAGGAACACCAGUGGCGAAGGCGGCUCACUGGACCGGUACUGACGCUGAGGCGCGAAAGCGUGGGGAGCAAACAGGAUUAGAUACCCUGGUAGUCCACGCCGUAAACGAUGAGUGCUUGGUGUAGCGGGUAUCGACCCCUGCCGUGCCGAAGUCAACACAUUAAGCACUCCGCCUGGGGAGUACGGUCGCAAGACUGAAACUCAAAGGAAUUGACGG